AACGCACAUUGCGCCCUUUGGUAUUCCGAAGGGCAUGCCUGUUCGAGCGUCAUUAUAACCACUCAAGCCUUCGCUUGGUAUUGAGGCUCGCGACCCCGCGGCCCCUAAACUCAGUGGCGGUGCCUGUCGGCUCUACGCGUAGUAAUGCUCCUCGCGUCUGGGUCCGGUAGGUUGCCUGCCAGCAACCCCCCAAUUUUUUACAGGUUGACCUCGGAUCAGGUAGGGAUACCCGCUGAACUUAA
rnacentral:misc_RNA from 1 species